rnacentral:sRNA from 2 species
UGAAUCAAAACUCAAAAUUCAGAAGGAGGGGUUCUUUGCGUUCCAUUUGUUCAGGCCCAUUGAACUACUGCCUGUUCCUCACGAACCUACAAUAUGGCACGAAUGAUAGAGUUGAAGAGGAUGGGAUCAUCAACCGGAUCACGUCCUAGGCAACUCAAAUUCCUUUCUUCUUGUGCAUUGAUUGUGGCAAAGAUAAGGCGGGAAUGGUUCAGUGGUUCCACGGAAUCAAAGGAGGCGAAAAGUUAAGGGAAAGAGAAUAGCCAAAUCUCCUUUUCCCUAAACCGCAUUUUUCGCCAUUGUUGGUGUUGAAUCUGUUUGGCAAACUGGAGAUCGAACGUACCAUACAGAGAGGCUUUUCGGCCUUCCGCCGAAUAAUCUGAAGCUUUCAAUC